UAAUACGUAGGGGGCAAGCGUUGUCCGGAUUUACUGGGUGUAAAGGGCGCGUAGGCGGGUUUGUAAGUUAGAGGUGAAAUCCUGCAGCUUAACUGUAGAACUGCCUCUGAUACUGCAAAUCUUGAGUUCAGAAGAGAGUGGCGGAAUUCCAGGUGUAGUGGUGAAAUACGUAGAUAUCUGGAAGAACACCAGUGGCGAAGGCGGCUACUUGGUCUGCAACUGACGCUGAGGCGCGAAAGCGUGGGGAUCAAACAGGAUUAGAUACCCUGGUAGUCCACGCUGUAAACGAUGAAUACUAGGUGUUGGAUACAUUUGUAUCCAGUGCCGCAGUUAACGCAUUAAGUAUUCCACCUGGGGAGUACGAUCGCAAGGUUGAAACUCAAAGGAAUUGACGG
rnacentral:rRNA from 1 species